AGCUGAGAUUGGGAGCACACUC
rnacentral:miRNA from 1 species